rnacentral:RNase_P_RNA from 1 species
GGCAUUCGCUCUCCCGGUCCGCCGGGGGAGAGGAAAGUCCGGACACCACAGGGUAGGAUUCCUCCCGAAAGGGGGGGCAGCCAGCGGGCGACGGCUGGCUGACGGAAAGUGUCGCAGAAAACAGACCGCCCCGCCCCGCGGGGUAAGGGUGAAACGGUGGGGUAAGAGCCCACCGCCCGGAGGGCAACCGAAGGGGCACGACAAACCCAAUCCGGUGCAAGGCCAACAGGGACCGGGUGACCCGCCCGCGGUCCCGGGUACGCUGCACCCCGGCAUCGGCCGGGGAGCCUGGCCCGCCCGGGCCGGGCUAGAGGAAUGAAUGCCGAACCGCUCCGGCGGGGAACAGAAUCCGGCUUAUCGCG